rnacentral:rRNA from 1 species
GACGAACGCUGGCGGCGUGCUUAACACAUGCAAGUCGAACGGAAAGGCCCUGCUUUUGUGGGGUGCUCGAGUGGCGAACGGGUGAGUAACACGUGAGUAACCUGCCCUUGACUUUGGGAUAACUUCAGGAAACUGGGGCUAAUACCGGAUAGGAGCUCCUGCUGCAUGGUGGGGGUUGGAAAGUUUCGGCGGUUGGGGAUGGACUCGCGGCUUAUCAGCUUGUUGGUGGGGUAGUGGCUUACCAAGGCUUUGACGGGUAGCCGGCCUGAGAGGGUGACCGGCCACAUUGGGACUGAGAUACGGCCCAGACUCCUACGGGAGGCAGCAGGGGGGAAUAUUGCACAAUGGGCGGAAGCAUGAUGCAGCAACGCCGCGUGCGGGAUGACGGCCUUCGGGUUGUAAACCGCUUUCGCCUGUGACGAAGCGUGAGUGACGGUAAUGGGUAAAGAAGCACCGGCUAACUACGU